rnacentral:rRNA from 1 species
AUUGAACGCUGGCGGAAUGCUUUACACAUGCAAGUCGAACGGCAGCACGGACUUCGGUCUGGUGGCGAGUGGCGAACGGGUGAGUAAUACAUCGGAACGUGCCCAGUCGUGGGGGAUAACGUAGCGAAAGCUACGCUAAUACCGCAUACGUUCUAAGGAUGAAAGCGGGGGACCGUAAGGCCUCGCGCGAUUGGAUCGGCCGAUGGCAGUUUAGGUAGGUGGUGGGGUAAAGGCUCACCAAGCCGGAGAUCUGUAGCUGGUCUGAGAGGACGACCAGCCACACUGGGACUGAGACACGGCCCAGACUCCUACGGGAGGCAGCAGUGGGGAAUUUUGGACAAUGGGCGCAAGCCUGAUCCAGCCGUUCCGCGUGCAGGAUGAAGGCCCUCGGGUUGUAAACUGCUUUUGUACGGAACGAAAAGGCUCUGGUUAAUACCUGGGGCUCAUGACGGUACCGUAAGAAUAAGCACCGGCUAACUACGUGCCAGCCGCCGCCGUAA